rnacentral:rRNA from 1 species
UACGUAGGGGGCAAGCGUUGUCCGGAUUUAUUGGGCGUAAAGAGCUCGUAGGUGGUUCGGUAAGUCGGGUGUGAAAACUCUGGGCUCAACUCAGAGACGCCACCCGAUACUGCUGUGACUGGAGUCUGGUAGGGGAGUGUGGAAUUCCCGGUGUAGCGGUGAAAUGCGCAGAUAUCGGGAGGAACACCAGUGGCGAAGGCGGCACUCUGGGCCAGUACUGACACUGAGGAGCGAAAGCGUGGGUAGCGAACAGG